rnacentral:misc_RNA from 1 species
UCCUGGUUAACCCAGGCAGUCUCAUUAGAGUUCCCACCCUAAGUGUUGGCAACUAAUGAUAAGGGUUGCGCUCGUUGCUGGACUUAACCAAACACCUCACGGCACGAGCUGACGACAGCCAUGCAGCACCUGUGCAGCAGCCCCGAAGGGAGAUCCUAUUUCUAGGACUGUCUACUGCAUGUCAAGCCUGGGUAAGGUUCUUCGCGUUGCAUCGAAUUAAACCACAUGCUCCACUGCUUGUGCGGGUCCCCGUCAAUUCUUUUGAGUUUCAGCCUUGCGACUGUACUCCCCAGGCGGUAUACUUAUCGCGUUAGCUACGGCACAUCUGGGGUUGAAUCCAGAUACACCAAGUAUACAUCGUUUACGGCAAGGACUAC